UUUUCAAGCAUGUGAAGACCGAUAUGUAGAUGUUAUAGAAUGAAGAAUAAAAAUCAUCAUCGCACUCUUAAUUAACCGACGCGAGUUUUCCGGCCAAUUCUUUCUUUUCAUUUUCGUCGAGCUCGGUCAAAACUUGUGCAAGGCUGUCUAUCAUUCCCUUCCUAUCUGAACGAAGGAGUUUAGAAAGACGCUCACUGUAAUAAGUACUCUUAAGUUCCUGAGUUCUCUUACUCAAAUCGUCGUUAUGUUCCUCAAUCCAACAAACAACAGACUUAU